rnacentral:rRNA from 1 species
AUUGAACGCUGGCGGCAUGCCUUACACAUGCAAGUCGAACGGCAGCACGGGAGCAAUCCUGGUGGCGAGUGGCGAACGGGUGAGUAAUAUAUCGGAACGUGCCCAGUCGUGGGGGAUAACGCAGCGAAAGCUGUGCUAAUACCGCAUACGAUCUAUGGAUGAAAGCGGGGGAUCGCAAGACCUCGCGCGAUUGGAGCGGCCGAUAUCAGAUUAGGUAGUUGGGGGGGUAAAGCCCACCAAGGCGGAGAUCUGUAGCUGGUCUGAGAGGACGACCAGCCACACUGGAACUGAGACGCGGUGCAGACUCCUACGGGAGGCAGCAGUGGGGAAUUUUGGACAAUGGGCGCAAGCCUGAUCCAGCAAUGCCGCGUGGAGGAUGAAGGCCUUCGGGUUGUAAACUGCUUUUGUACGGAACGAAACGGUCUGCCCUAAUACGGUGGGCUAAUGACGGUACCGUAAGAAUAAGCACCGGCUAACUACGUGCCAGCAGCCGCCGUAA